rnacentral:tRNA from 1 species
GCCUGGCUGGCUCAGUCAGUAGAGCAUGUGACUCUUGAUCUCAGGAUCAUGAGUUCUAGCCUCACGUUGGGUG